GAUGAACGCUGGCUACAGGCUUAACACAUGCAAGUCGAGGGGAAACGACGGGGAAGCUUGCUUCCCCGGGCGUCGACCGGCGCACGGGUGAGUAACGCGUAUCCAAACUGCCUCUGACUGAGGGAUAACCCGUCGAAAGUCGGCCUAAUACCUCAUGGCAUCGUCUGCGGGCAUCCAACGACGAUUAAAGAUUUCAUCGGUCAGGGAUGGGGAUGCGUCUGAUUAGCUUGUUGGCGGGGUAACGGCCCACCAAGGCUACGAUCAGUAGGGGUUCUGAGAGGAAGGUCCCCCACAUUGGAACUGAGACACGGUCCAAACUCCUACGGGAGGCAGCAGUGAGGAAUAUUGGUCAAUGGGCGGGAGCCUGAACCAGCCAAGUAGCGUGCAGGAUGACGGCCCUAUGGGUUGUAAACUGCUUUUAUGCGGGGAUAAAGUGAGGGACGUGUCCUUCAUUGCAGGUACCGCAUGAAUAAGGACCGGCUAAUUCCGUG
rnacentral:rRNA from 1 species